UAAGGUGAGCGAGAGAACUAUGGUUAAGGAACUCGGCAAAAUGACCCCGUAACUUCGGGAGAAGGGGUGGUCUAGCGAUAGACCCGCAGUGAAUAGGCCCAGGCAACUGUUUACCAAAAACACAGGUCUCUGCUAACACGUAAGUGGAUGUAUAGGGGCUGACGCCUGCCCAGUGCUGGAAGGUUAAAGAGAUUAGUUAGUAUGACGUAAGUCGAUAAUACGAAGCUUUGAACUGAAGCCCCAGUGAACGGCGGCCGUAACUAUAACGGUCCUAAGGUAGCGAAAUUCCUUGUCAGGUAAGUUCUGACCCGCACGAAAGGCGUAAUGAUCUGGGUACUGUCUCAACCAUAGACUCGGUGAAAUCUUAAUACCUGUGAAAAUGCAGGUUACCCGCGACUGGACGGAAAGACCCCGUGGAGCUUUACUGUAGCUUGAUAUUGGGAUUCGGUAAAUUAUGUAGAGCAUAGGUGGGAGACUAUGAGAUUAAGGCGCCAGCCUUAAAGGAGUCAUCAUUGGAAUACCACCCUUAGUUUAUUGAAUUUCUAACCUAGGACCAUGAUCUGGUUCAGGGACAGUGUCUGGUGGGCAGUUUGACUGGGGCGGUCGCCUCCUAAAAUGUAACGGAGGCGUUCAAAGGUUCCCUCAGAAUGGUUGGAAAUCAUUCGCAGAGCGUAAAGGUAUAAAGGGAGCUUGACUGCGAGACCUACAAGUCAAGCAGGUGCGAAAGCAGGACUUAGUGAUCAGGCGAUUCAGAAUGGAAUGGUCGUCGCUUAACGGAUAAAAGUUACCCUGGGGAUAACAGGCUGAUACCACCCAAUAGUUCACAUAGACGGUGGUGAUUGGCACCUCGAUGUCGGCUCGUCACAUCCUGGAGCUGGAUUCGGUUCCAAGGGUUGGGCUGUUCGCCCAUUAAAGUGGCACGCGAGCUGGGUUCAGAACGUCGUGAGACAGUUCGGUCCCUAUCCGUCGUGGGCGCAGGAAAAUUGAGGAGAGCUAUCCUUAGUACGAGAGGACCGGGAUGGACCUACCUCUGGUGUAUCUGUUGUCACGCCAGUGGCAGUGCAGAGUAGCUAUGUAGGGAAGGGAUAAACGCUGAAAGCAUCUAAGCGUGAAGCCCUCUCCAAGAUGAGUUUUCCCAUUGUUUAACAAGUAAAAUCCCAGAUAGACUAACUGGUUGAUAGGCUAGAAGUGGAAGUGUAGCGAUACAUUGAGCGGACUAGUACUAAUAGAUUGAGGAUUUAAUCC
rnacentral:rRNA from 1 species